rnacentral:lncRNA from 1 species
GUGGUAUUUUCUGGUGUUGUGUUCCGCUGCAUUAUUGUUGUUAGGCGUGACCUAAGUCAUAGAGACUAGGUACCCACGCCAGGAAGGCUGAUCGGUUAUCUUUGAUAGACUGAGCCGCACGUUGUUGGGAUUCGCUUUGUAAUCCCUUCGUUCGUGUCACUUGGUAUCAGAGCCAUACCAGAAAUAAAGGAGACGACCUCUACGGUAACUUCCAAGGUGGGAAUGGCGGACGCAUCAUCCUCGACCAUGGAUCCCAAUCCAGCCUCAGGAGGAGGCACGGCGAUGGGUGGAGCGCAUCCAGUUGAUGAUUCUCUGUAUGGGUUACGUAUUGCAUCUCCGGUUAUCUCCGCCGACAAUCGAUUACGGAGGUGCGAGGCCCAAAUAGCUGAGGUUGAAGGACGGAUGGAGGACCUUGAGGGUAGGGACGCAACCCUCCGAGGUGA